AUCAAGCUGACGAGUCCCAAAUGGGACGAAACGCACGUCUUGGAU
rfam:Schistosoma mansoni strain Puerto Rico chromosome 4, complete genome